AUGAUAAAUUAUCAGUUGAACCUGUAUCAGUUGGAAAUGUCUUUCCAAAUGUUCUCUUUUAUUCUCCCUGUGAAGGCAGAGUCCUCUUGUUUGGUGCAGUGUUGCUGUAGCUUCUGCAGAGUGGGAGAAACCUGGCGGCACCAACUACUGGUAGAGGGAGUAUUUGUGAGAAACGAAACCACAAAUUCAGCGUUGUGUUUUCUUCAACCUGCAGUGAAACAAAACAAAAACAAAACUGUUGCAUCAGCAAAGAUUUAUAUCAAAUCCAAAGCAGUCCCUUCUCUACAGUCUUCUUCCGGCUCUUGGAGAGUUCAGACGUUUUUUUUCCUCCUCUCCUCCCUAUCUUAUCCCAAGGCUCUUAGUCUUUGGGUGUAUGGCGCUUCUGCAUUUUUUUCUGGAAACUGGACAUUAUUAAAAUGGACCUGGUCAGCUGGUCUCUCAACACGAUUGACAACAUUUUUUCAACAAUGAGAACGGGAGAAGGGGCUCCCGGUUGCCCCUCUGGGACAGAGCCAGCUGGGCAUAUCAUGGACUCCUGGAAACAGUGGAACCUGAUUUGCCUCUCUAAACUGUCUGUAGGGGAUUCUGAAGACGUCUGGAUAUUCGUUGUGUUGGUGUUUACUGCUUUAUGGCCUGGGUGGUUAUCUGGCUUACCGUAAAAUUAAUGAGCUGUCGAGGAAUAUUGGCUCAAUCCCGGAGCUCAGGGAUGGAUUACACAGCGCUGUAAAUGCACAAACUCAUAUAAUUGUUGAGAUGAGUCGUGAGCUUGGAACUUUGGCUGAGAUUCACACAGAAGGUGGAUUCGAUCAAGGAUAGAGUUGACGAAUCAGCACGGAUUGGGAUAGAUUGAUCUACACCAUUAUUGGAUUCAGAGGGGUUGGAGAUCAACAGAACUUUAAGACACAGAGGAAAUUAUCUCUGUCUGGCCCCAAAACAAGUUCUUAUCUGAAUCUGGUGCCCUUGAGCCUGUGAGGCUGAAACAAAUACUACCCCUCAGAAGAAAUGUGGAAUGCUGCUGUCGCCAUGGCAACUCUGUCUCCCUAUCCCAGCCUGAGCGGGACUGCGACCAGUGAAGGUCGUUGAAUCGUUUCCAGGAGUCACUGUGCUUUCUAAACCCAAAUACCUCCCUAUGCAUGCGGCUGCAUGAACUGAUGUGUGGAGAGUCCCAAACCCACCUCCCCACCUAGUGGACACUUAUGUUGUGUAAUGUCUGAAGUCUGUUGCAUUUCUGUCUGAGGUGUUUUUUGCAUAGCAAAGCAGCCCUCCCUGUGGAGGGUAACUCUGAAGUGCCUUUUUUUCCUCCACCUGAACCAAUCCUCAUGUAAACCCUCUGAUCUUUAUUAAGGUAGCGCGACUCAGGUUGCGAAUGACCACAGUCACCAAUUCUUGUCAUGUGUCUAUGUGUAUGGAUGUCUGAUCUCAGAAUUGUGUGUACCGAAACUCUAAUUUCCCUCUGGGAUUAAUAAAGUAUCUUUGAAUGUGAACUGAAUUGAAUUUAUAAUUUGCAGGGUUUUGACAACAAAAUGAACACUGUCUCAGUCCCUGCUGGGUACAAAUGAAGAGCACUUUGCAGUUGUUUUUGCACGACACCGUCUGCACUUGAGCUGUCCAUCUGUGCUGUGCCCACUGAUGUGAACAAGCUGGUGAUGGAUCCAGCUGAGUGUGACAGUUACACACACGCCAACUCCUCAGUUAGGGUCUCACUGAAUCAUGCAGAUGUCCUUUACCUUUAGUAAAGUUUUCCAGCACUGGUUUGCUUCAAUUACUAAAAGGAAUUUGGAAAAAUGUAGAGUAAUACAAACAAAUAAAACAGAGUUUGAUUCACAGCUGAAUCCACAAAAUGUUGAUUUGGGGCUGUGAUGGAUGUGCUACUGAGCUAUUCUCUAGAAAUUUGUAUUUCUAUGUUGAUUUGGAUUGAUUUAACUCAUUAUUUCAAUUUCCUGUGUGAGAUCCAUGUGAGCAGAUAAACAUAGGAGGUCAUCUCUGACAUCUCUCGGCUGUUGUGGGAAAACAAUUAAAAGUCAGAAAGUUAUUUAGGAAAAAAACAACUUUUUUCAUGGCUCACAAAAAAAUUAACUAGACAAAUGCUGUAGAAAUAUAAAAACACUGCCCCAACAAACGUAGCCUGACUUUAAACUCUAACAUUUUCAUCACAGUUUGUUCAGGAGACAUAGAACCUCUAAUUGUUUCAGCAGCACGGGCUUCUUUAUGAGAAGGUCUCACAGAAAUGUUUCCUGCUGUCAAGUUUUGAUGACUAACUUGUUGCGGUGCAACAGCAGGUCAUCAAGUAUUGUCAUGCCUCAUAAUGUUUCAUUCUAUUGCUGCAAAACAACAAAAAUCUAUUCAAAGAAGAAAUAUCCCAAUUAAAACAGAACCUCAGCGCACCUAACAAGAAAGGUAAUACUUCCUACCUCUUCCUUUGGGGACAGUUUCAAAUAAAGCAGAGCUGAUUUUGUAGAGUGUAAAUACCAAGAGGAAUCAAGGACCUCCAUAGCCACCGCCAUGGGCCUCUGUACCCAUCAUUUAUCUUACAGCUCUACAGAAUAAGAGACUGGAAUGCAUUUUUCAGUGCAUCCCAAGUACCUGCUGCAAACUCCUCCAAAGAUUAGUUUUCAGAACUUUCACCUGAAAAUUGAGCAAAACCAAAUUUCUGAAGUAUUGCCAAUUCUUUUGGAGCUUUUGCCUCUUGGCUGUAGUGGAAAAACCCUGGAAAUUUAGUCAAAUGAACAUAGAAAUUUGCAGCUCAUGUUAAUUUGGACUAAUUUAGCCCAUUUUGAACAUUUAAAUGUAAAUAGAAAGUUUUUUUAUUCAGUUAAAUGUAAUUGGCCUUUAUGUGUAUAGCAUCUUCUUAGGGUUCUACAACCCCCCAAGGCACUUUACAACACAAUCAGUCAUCCAGCCAUUAACACACAUUCACACUCUGGUGAUGAUGAGCUACAAUGUAGCCACAGCUGCCCUGGAGUGCACUGACAGAGGCGAGGCCUGCCGAACACAGGCGUCAUCGAUCCCUCCGACCACCACCAGCAGGCUAGGUGGGUCAAGUGUCUUGCCCAAGGACACAACAGCAGCAUUCUCUGGAAGGAGACCAAACCAGCAACCUUCUGAUCACUGGACAACCCGCUCUACCUCCCGAACUACUGCUGUCCUUAAGUUAGGUUGAGAGGAAAUUGAUCUAAUCACAAAAGUUAGUCCUCUAUCCUAUCCAUUUUAUAUUUAUAUGGAACAUUUGCAUAGAUAUCAGUUCUCUCUCUCACUCACUCACUCACAAACACACACACACACACACACACACACGUGUGUGUAUAUAUAUAUAUACACACGUGUGUGUGUGUGUGUGUGUGUGUGU
rnacentral:lncRNA from 1 species